UGAGGAAUAUUGGUCAAUGGGCGCGAGCCUGAACCAGCCAAGUAGCGUGAAGGAUGAAGGUCCUAUGGAUUGUAAACUUCUUUUAUAGCAGAAUAAAGUGACCCACGUGUGGGUUUUUGUAUGUAUGCUAUGAAUAAGGAUCGGCUAACUCCGUGCCAGCAGCCGCGGUAAUACGGAGGAUCCGAGCGUUAUCCGGAUUUAUUGGGUUUAAAGGGUGCGCAGGCGGGAUGUUAAGUCGGCGGUGAAAUUUUGCAGCUCAACUGUAAAAGUGCCUUCGAUACUGGCUUCCUUGAGUGUAGAUGAAGUGGGCGGAAUUUGUGGUGUAGCGGUGAAAUGCUUAGAUAUCACGAGGAACUCCGAUUGCGCAGGCAGCUUACUAAACUACAACUGACGCUCAUGCACGAAGGCGUGGGGAUCAAACA
rnacentral:rRNA from 1 species